UUACAGCCAUAUCAGAUUGAAACACUCGUUCCCAUACAAUCACCAAAGUUAAGCAAUGUUGAACUUAGUCAGUACCUAGAUGGGUGACUGCUUUGGAAUACCAGGUGCUAUA
rnacentral:rRNA from 1 species